rnacentral:rRNA from 1 species
UACGGAGGAAAAGAAACCAACUGGGAUUACCUUAGUAACGGCGAGUGAAGCGGUAAAAGCUCAAAUUUGAAAUCUGGUACUUUCAGUGCCCGAGUUGUAAUUUGUAGAAUUUGUCUUUGAUUAGGUCCUUGUCUAUGUUCCUUGGAACAGGACGUCAUAGAGGGUGAGAAUCCCGUUUGGCGAGGAUACCUUUUCUCUGUAAGACUUUUUCGAAGAGUCGAGUUGUUUGGGAAUGCAGCUCAAAGUGGGUGGUAAAUUCCAUCUAAAGCUAAAUAUUGGCGAGAGACCGAUAGCGAACAAGUACAGUGAUGGAAAGAUGAAAAGAACUUUGAAAAGAGAGUGAAAAAGUACGUGAAAUUGUUGAAAGGGAAGGGCAUUUGAUCAGACAUGGUGUUUUUUGCAUGCACUCGCCUCUCGUGGGCUUGGGCCUCUCAAAAAUUUCACUGGGCCAACAUCAAUUCUGGCAGCAGGAUAAAUCAUUAAGAAUGUAGCUACUUCGGUAGUGUUAUAGCUUUUUGGAAUACUGUUAGCCGGGAUUGAGGACUGCGCUUCGGCAAGGAUGUUGGCAUAAUGGUUAAAUGCAGCCCGUCUUA